rnacentral:rRNA from 1 species
ACGCUCGACACCUACGUGAGGCAGCAGUGGGGAAUAUUGCACAAUGGGGGAAACCCUGAUGCAGCAACGCCGCGUGAAGGAAGACGGUUUUCGGAUUGUAAACCUCUGUUCUUAGUGAAGAUAGUGACGGUAGCUAAGGAGCAAGCCACGGCUAACUACGUGCCAGCAGCCUCGGUAAUCUGAGCGGGCUGGCAAGGC